rnacentral:rRNA from 1 species
AUUGAACGCUGGCGGCAGGCUUAACACAUGCAAGUCGAGCGGGGGAGGUUGCUUCGGUAACUGACCUAGCGGCGGACGGGUGAGUAAUGCUUAGGAAUCUGCCUAUUAGCGGGGGACAACAUUCCGAAAGGGAUGCUAAUACCGCAUACGCCCUACGGGGGAAAGCAGGGGAUCUUCGGACCUUGCGCUAAUAGAUGAGCCUAAGUCGGAUUAGCUAGUUGGUGGGGGAAAGGCCUACCAAGGCGACGAUCUGUAGCGGGUCUGAGAGGAUGAUCCGCCACACUGGGACUGAGACACGGCCCAGACUCCUACGGGAGGCAGCAGUGAGGAAUAUUGGACAAUGGGCGGAAGCCUGAUCCAGCCAUGCCGCGUGUGUGAAGAAGGCCUUUUGGUUGUAAAGCACUUUAAGCGAGGAGGAGGCUACUAGUACUAAUACUACUGGAUAGUGGACGUUACUCGCAGAAUAAGCACCGGCUAACUCUGUGCCAGCCGCCGCGGUAAGAC